GAUGAAGAACGCAGCGAAAUGCGAUAAGUAAUGUGAAUUGCAGAAUUCAGUGAAUCAUCGAAUCUUUGAACGCACAUUGCGCCCCUUGGUAUUCCGAGGGGCAUGCCUGUUCGAGCGUCAUUAUAACCCCUCAAGCUCAGCUUGGUGUUGGGGCCUGCCGCACGGGCAGCCCUUAAAAUCAGUGGCGGUGCUAUCUGGCUCUAAGCGUAGUAAUUCUUCUCGCUAUAGAGUCCCGGUGGAUGCUUGCCAUUAACCCCCAAUUUUCUAUGGUUGACCUCGGAUCAGGUUGGGAUACCCGCUGAACUUAAGCAUAUCAAUAAGCGGAGGA
rnacentral:misc_RNA from 1 species